GUGGAGGGUGAAGACGCGAGCAGCCUCGAAGCCCACCAACAGUGGCUGUGUGCUGAGAGCGAAAGUUGGUGCCUGACGGAGGCCAGAUUGAGCUUCGAAUGGUUGCGACUGCCUGAUGGAUGCUUAUCCCUACCUGAUGGAUGCUAGGAGGUUCCGAAAAGACUAAAAGCGCCAGACAAAGAUCGAGCUAAUGAAGGUAAUGCCGGACGGAUCCAUCAUCAGUCUUGCUUCCAGGAAGAUUUUGAGAUGCAACAAGGAGCUGCUAGAGCACAUCACCGUGAUCUCAGUGGAAGGUGCCAACUGCAAGCUCAUGAAGCGAGGGAACCAUCCCGACGGCACCCUGCAUUGCCUUCUCGGGGUACAAUGUGAAGGCAGCGAAGAGCAUGAACAUACACGUUGAUACAGUUUGGCUUUUCGAAGUGCAAGAUGCGGAGGAUGGCUUUACUGUGGUCAUGGCGGCCUACUGGCUUUUUGGCUUCACCCAUGGCCAGAAGACGUACAAU